rnacentral:rRNA from 1 species
GUCUGAACCAGCCAUGUCGCGUGCAGGAAGACUGCCCUAUGGGUUGUAAACUGCUUUUAUACGGGAAGAAACCCACCUACGUGUAGGUGGCUGACGGUACCGUAAGAAUAAGCAUCGGCUAACUCCGUGCCAGCAGCCGCGGUAAUACGGAGGAUGCAAGCGUUAUCCGGAAUCAUUGGGUUUAAAGGGUCCGUAGGUGGAUUAAUAAGUCAGAGGUGAAAGCCUGCAGCUUAACUGUAGAACUGCCUUUGAUACUGUUAAUCUUGAAUUAUUGUGAAGUAGUUAGAAUAUGUAGUGUAGCGGUGAAAUGCAUAGAUAUUACAUAGAAUACCGAUUGCGAAGGCAGAUUACUAACAAUAUAUUGACACUGAUGGACGAAAGCGUGGGGAGCGAACAGGAUUAGAUACCCUGGUAGUCCACGCCGUAAACGAUGAUAACUAGUUGUUUGCAAUAGACCGUAAGCGACAAAGCGAAAGCAUUAAGUUAUCCAC